rnacentral:rRNA from 1 species
UACGUAGGUGGCGAGCGUUGUCCGGAUUUACUGGGCGUAAAGGGAGCGUAGGCGGACUUUUAAGUGAGAUGUGAAAUACCCGGGCUCAACUUGGGUGCUGCAUUUCAAACUGGAAGUCUAGAGUGCAGGAGAGGAGAAUGGAAUUCCUAGUGUAGCGGUGAAACGCGUAGAGAUUAGGAAGAACACCAGUGGCGAAGGCGAUUCUCUGGACUGUAACUGACGCUGAGGCUCGAAAGCGUGGGGAGCAAACAGGAUUAGAUACCCUGGUA